AAAUGAAUAGACGGGGGCCCGCACAAGCGGUGGAGCAUGUUGUUUAAUUCGAGGCAACGCGCAGAACCUUACCAGCCCUUGACAUGUGCAUAGCGGUUAGCAGAGAUGCUUUCUUCAUUUAGUUGGAUGCACACAGGUGUUGCAUGGCUGUCGUCAGCUCGUGUCGUGAGAUGUUGGGUUAAGUCCCGCAACGAGCGCAACCCUCGCCAUUAGUUGCCAUCAUUUAGUUGGGCACUCUAAUGGAACUGCCUGCGACAAGCAGGAGGAAGGCGGGGAUGACGUCAAGUCCUCAUGGCCCUUACGGGCUGGGCUACAAACGUGCUACAAUGGCGAUCACAAUGGGCAGCGACCCCGCGAGGGUGAGCUAAUCCCUAAAAAUCGUCUCAGUUCGGAUCGCACUCUGCAACUCGAGUGCGUGAAGUUGGAAUCGCUAGUAAUCGCGGAUCAGCACGCCGCGGUGAAUACGUUCCCGGGCCUUGUACACACCGCCCGU
rnacentral:rRNA from 1 species